rnacentral:rRNA from 1 species
UGGGGAAUAUUGCACAAUGGGCGCAAGCCUGAUGCAGCCAUGCCGCGUGUAUGAAGAAGGCCUUCGGGUUGUAAAGUACUUUCAGUCGGGAGGAAGGUGGUAAGGUUAAUAACCUUAUCAAUUGACGUUACCGACAGAAGAAGCACCGGCUAACUCCGUGCCAGCAGCCGCGGUAAUACGGAGGGUGCAAGCGUUAAUCGGAAUUACUGGGCGUAAAGCGCACGCAGGCGGUUGAUUGAGUCAGAUGUGAAAUCCCCGGGCUUAACCCGGGAAUUGCAUCUGAUACUGGUCAGCUAGAGUAUUGUAGAGGGGGGUAGAAUUCCAUGUGUAGCGGUGAAAUGCGUAGAGAUGUGGAGGAAUACCGGUGGCGAAGGCGGCCCCCUGGACAAAGACUGACGCUCAGGUGCGAAAGCGUGGGGAGCAAACAGG